rfam:Triticum aestivum genome assembly, contig: Triticum_aestivum_CS42_TGACv1_scaffold_514122_6BS
GUACUAUUCCCUCCGUUCUAAAUUACUUGUCUUGGAUUUGUCUAGAUACGGAUUUAUAUAGACUCAUUUUAGUGCUAGAUACAUCCGUAUCUAGACAAAUCUAAGACAACUAAUUCGGAACGGAGGGAGUAUGUG